rnacentral:rRNA from 1 species
GUUAUCCUACGGGAGGCAGCAGUGGGGAAUAUUGCACAAUGGGGGAAACCCUGAUGCAGCAACGCCGCGUGAAGGAAGACGGUUUUCGGAUUGUAAACUUCUUUUAUCAAGGACGAAACAAAUGACGGUACUUGAUGAAUAAGCCACGGCUAACUACGUGCCAGCAGCCGCGGUAAUACGUAGGUGGCAAGCGUUAUCCGGAUUUACUGGGUGUAAAGGGCGUGUAGGCGGGACUGCAAGGCAGAUGUGAAAACCAUGGGCUCAACCCAUGGCCUGCAUUUGAAACUGUAGUUCUUGAGUGUUGG